GGCUCCUUUUCAGUCUCGACUAUUAUAAAAUAAUUAUCCUAUCUUUUAUGCUGGCAUAAUCCCGUACAUGCGUACGACCUUCAGGGUGUACGACCAUCAAUCAUCGGUGUAUACGCCGCCCGUAGGUGACGGGACGCGCUAUGAGGCUUCCUCGCCCCUAUCGGUGGGAUUGUCAACGUCCAUCUGCACACCAGUGGCAUCAGGAAGAUCAACAAGAUCUCGAUUAUUUUCGUUAGCAGAAUCCGGGCAUGCCCCAUGACUGCCAGAAGUAUUAUCAUCGCGCUCGACAGGUGCAUGAACCUAUUCGGCACAGGACUGCGCUUCGCGCUUUUUACCAUAAGACUCCUGAAAGGCAAGGAAGACUUUACGCAAGCGCUUUCGACUGGCGGCUUUGAAAUAGAACUCCUCCAUCGCACAUCAACCGUAAAAGAGGAUCGAACCUGACCCUCAAUACCAAUAUAGCAGUCGCUCACCUGAACAAACGACUGACCUCGCAGAAGCGUAGGGCCGAUCGUUUUGAGGAAGCGGGAAGGAGUCCAACCAUACAUAGACGGAUACGAAGUAACUGGAUCGCCGGCAGCAGAGUCUGUAAGGGUGUGUUCACAUGUAGUCCAAUUGAGAGUCUGAUUGGGAGUCCGAUUCGGGGCGGCUUUCUGAAUUGUGUUCACAUACGAUUUGCGGCCACCGCGCGAGGUGCCACCGCGCCCAGCUGAAGCUCCGCGGCUACGCCCCAUCACCCAAGGCAAGCCAGCAUUAUCUAGGAACAGAACAGUAUAAGUAUCGUUUCUAGGCGAAAAUUAUUACCAGGCUUGUACAUACAUAGCUGCAGGAGUUCGUGAAAAAUGCUCGGUGCGCUUUGCGUGAAUUAACAAUUGGAAAAUGUUCCUAUAGUAUUGUAAUGGUAAUUAUGAGAAACGGUUUGUUAAACAACUUUGUUUUGAGAAAGAAAACUGUGAAUCACGUCGAAUCAUACCCGAAUUCCGACCGGACCCCAAUUCCGAUUCGGGUUCAAUCAGGUCCAAUUCAGAGUCCAAUUCGCAUGAAUCAACCCUGAUUCGCCCACAUGUGAACACGUCCUAACACCAAGUAGACGUAAUACUUAAGUGCAUGGCGACAGCACCCUGG
rnacentral:lncRNA from 1 species